GGUUUUGAGAUAGAGGAAAAAAUUGAAAAUGAUACUGAGGUUUCAGACCAAGGAGAAAAGGCAAAUGGUAGUUCUGUGAAAAGAGUUGGGUGGACUUAGUUUAGGAGGUCUGGAAAUUCUUUUCCAACCCGUGCCCGGACCACGACACGACUUUUUACGACCUCAUGGAUGUAGCCCGUCAGGGCCCUCUGUCCAUGGGAUUUCCCAGGGCCGAUAAAAGGUAGAAGAACAUAUUCAGCUCCCGAUUUAGACACUGUGCAGUGGUUUUACGGAUACAAAAGCUGUCUUAGCAUCAACAAGGUGGCAUUGAAAUCUGGGUCACAUAUAUGACUGAGCACAAAACUUUUAAAAAAUAGAAGAAAAAGGAAUUAAAAAAAAAAAAAACACUGACAGAUUGAAGGCCGUUUUGGAGCUGUAAGCAAGGUAGAUUUCUUCGGUGUACAUCAGUCUCAUACUAGAAGGCUGACACGUUUCAUUUUCCAUGAUGAAAGAACUCAUUUGCUGAGACAACUGAUGCCCUUAGGAAGAAGUGACA
ensembl:lncRNA